rnacentral:lncRNA from 1 species
GUCACUACAUUAUUAUACUGAAUUAGGUUAAUGAAGUAACACAGAUAAAUCUCAACAGUCCACAGUUCAUCUUAACAUUACAUAUCAAUUAGCACUAGAUAAUCACAUCAUUUGGUUGACUAUAACUACAAAUAAUCAAUGAGUUCAAAUCUGGCAUCAAACUUUAUUUCACUUCAAUGCUGGACUUACAUCAGGGGAAUUCAAAUGUGUACCUGGAAUAAAAUACAAGGAAGAAGCAAGGAUCAGCAACAGUAAUGCCCAGCAAUCAACAGAUAGCAGCAACCAGAGUAAUUUAAGCCCCAAAUCAAACGUGAAAUUCCAACAGAAAACCAACAAUAACAAACUCUAUCGAAUAUAAAUCAGUAGGUUACUAUAACAGACUUCAAACUAGCCAAAUUCAACCCAAAUAGUUCAAAUAUGCCUGAUAUUGACUCAAAUUCCAAAUCAGUAGAUUAAAAACCCUCAGCUACCAAAUAUUAAACCAGAAACUCGAAAUUAAUCAACCAAAAAUCUAAGAAAACUAUGAAAAUUACCAACUUCAACUGAAAAUACCAACUGUGAAGAAGCUAGAUGAGAAUCAAAAUUAACUGGCCAUUUCUUAAUGAAACAGUAAUUUUUUUUCAGAUUUGUUUUUUUGAAUUUUUUUUUGUUUUUGUUUUUUGGAGUUUGUAUCUCAGAUCUUCGAUCUGCAUUGGAGAUAACCCUUUUGGGAAGUUUUUUUUUUGGC